rnacentral:rRNA from 1 species
AGGACGAACGCUGGCGGCGUGCCUAACACAUGCAAGUCGAACGGAGCCCGCAAGGGUUCAGUGGCGAACGGGUGCGUAACACGUGAGGAACUUGUCCAUCGGCGGGGGAUAGCCGGCCCAACGGCCGGGUAAUACCGCGUACGCCGUCCGGAGCGCAUGCUCUGGCCGGGAAAGCAGCAAUGCACCGAUGGAGAGCCUCGCGGCCUAUCAGCUAGUUGGUGGGGUAAUGGCCUACCAAGGCGACGACGGGUAGCUGGUCUGAGAGGAUGACCAGCCACAUUGGGACUGAGACACGGCCCAGACUCCUACGGGAGGCAGCAGUGGGGAAUAUUGCGCAAUGGGCGAAAGCCUGACGCAGCGACGCCGCGUGUGGGAUGACGGCCUUCGGGUUGUAACCACUGUCGCGAGGGACGAAGAUCUGACGGUACCUCGAAAGGAAGCACCGGCUAACUCUGUGCCAGCAGCCGC